UUGGAGAUAUCAUUUUAGACC
rnacentral:siRNA from 1 species